rnacentral:lncRNA from 1 species
AUUUAAAAUAGUUUGGAAUGAUACGGUAGGAUUGUGUAACCGAAAAAAUAGAUGACAAACGAGACGGAAGAAAGAAAAGAAGAAAGAAAUGUCAAGCUCACGAUGAAAGCCCAGGAAGUUGACAAAUAAAGUUCUAGAUCGCAACGUACAGAGGGAAUGUCAUAGUGAAAGCCCGAACAGUUGAUAAAAUAAAAGUCCUAGAUGUCAACAAUAAGGAGGAAUGAGGGUAAUGUUCAUAACCCACGAUGAAAGCCCGCGAAGUUUAACGAAUGUUAUCUCAUGUACUUAGUUGCAUAAUGAGGUUGGUUUUAUUAACCUAAGAAUUAAUUGAAUUUUUUGAGAAGACUCGGUAACACGGGAAAAAUGUUGGAUUGAAAAAUCAUGGAUUUGAAUCAAAAGUAUAUUUUGAUUAGAAUGAAAAUAUAUUUGUUGCAUCAUUAUUUUUAUUGUAAGCCUAAUAAAUCACAGUUUUGGCUUGAGACAUAAAGUCUAUUGUUAAAAUCCUUUUUUCAAGGUAAACUCACCUUUAAUAUCCAAUAAAUUUUAGAUACGAGGGUAUUUGAGUCGAGGCAUGUGGAUUGUCGUUAUGUUUAUUUUAUUUUGGCAAAUUGUAAAUGUAUUUGGGAAGUUGUAAUUAUUUUUGGCCGGGUGUGGACAUUGAUCCAUGAAAUAUCAUCUCGUUGUAUUGAUCGUUUAUGGAGGCAUGUCUACGGUAGGAGUAGAGUCUACUCUGAUGUAAUAACAGUGUAUUGCCAUGUUAUUUAGUUUGACUUUUUCAUAUUUGAGUUAUUUGCUUAUGUGGUCGGAUCUGGGUUUGACCGGGGCAUGACAUGUAGCACGAGGGUAUAGUCAAGAAGAAGGAAUAUAAUUUGAUAAAUCAUUUACUCCCGUAGCUAAAUUAGAAGGUAUAUGAAUGCUACUUGCGUUUGCAUGCUAUAUCAACUUCAAACUAUACCAAAUGGAUAUAAAUAUGCAUUUUUAAAUGUAUACAUUACUAAGAAGGUAUCUGUUGCAUAACUUCCAGGCUUUGAGAAUCAUGAAUUUCCGAACCACGUAUAUAAGCUUUUAAAAGCACUCUAUGAAUUAAAGAAAACUCCAAGAGCUUGGUGUGAAAGACUAAGUGAGUUUUUAAAUGAAAAUGACUUUAUUCAAGAAAAAAAAAUUACACCUUAUUCGUAAAAAUUAAAAAUAAAGACAUACUUAUUGUGCAAAUAUAUGUAGAGGACAUUAUAUUUGGUGCUACUAAUGAUAUUAUGUGCAAGGAUUUUACUAAGUGUGUGCGAGUUCAACUUCUUCCUUAGACUACAAAUCAAGUAAUCAAGUGAGAUAAAUUAUACAAACCAACCAAAAUAUAUAAAUGAGUUGAUCAAAUGUUUCAGCAUGAUGAGAGCCAUUAGCUACCCCGAUGAGCACAUCUAUAAAGCUUGACAAGACAACAACGCUAAAAAUGUAGAUGAAAAAAUCUAUUGAGGUAUCAUUGGAUCUCUACUCUAUUUAACUGAAAGUAGACCCGAUAUCAUGCUUAGUGUAUGCAUAUGUGCUAGAUUUCAAUCAUGCCCUAAAGAAUCACAUCUAUUGGCCAUAAAAUGCAUAUUUAAAUAUGUUAUAGAUAUGCAAAAUCUAGGUAUAUUUUAUCUAAGAGGAGUUGCCUUUGAUUUAAAAGGAUAAUUAGUACAGACUAUGCGGUAUGCAAAGUAGAACAAAAAAGCACAAAUGGUACUUUUUAAUUUCUAGGACAAUCCCUAGUUUCUUGAUUUAGCAAGAAACAAAAUUCCAUCACACUAUUAACCGCCAAUGCUGAAUAUGUGGCCGCCAAAAGUUGUUGUGCUCAAAUGCUUUAGAUAAAACAAUAAAUGGGGGAAUAUAAUUUAUAUUUUGAUUAUAUUUCAAUCAAUUGUGAUGAUACAAGUGCUAUAAUGUUGUCUAAGAAUCCCAUAUAACAUUCUAGAACAAAGCACAAUGAGAUUCGAUAUCAUUUUCUAAGAGAUCACAUCCAAAAAAGGAAUAUUGAACUUAUAUAUAUGCACACCGAUAAGCAAUAGGCAGAUAUUUUUAUAAAAUCACUUGAUAAGAAAGAUUUUAUUUCAUGAGACGUGAACUUAAUAUGUCUCAACCAAUGUGAAUAUAUUUUGAUUUCUUAAUUAAAUUCAUAAUACUUGAGUUAGUAGGAAUUGAGAAAGAAUAGUUUAAAUCAAAAUUUAUUCUAUAUGAAUAAAUUUAAUUGAUCUAAUAUAAGUUUAUUGAUCGACAAAAAUGUGCAUAGAAGUCUCAAAUUUUGAGAUACAUGAAAUUGAUUCAUAGAAUUAUAUUUUAUAGUUGUUUUAUGUAAGUGUGACUUGUGUGAAGAAAAAAAAUGAGCAGUAAGAUCAAACUUAAGUCAAAAUUCCUUACUGUCAAAUUUUGCAGAUAUAGUAGGAACUUCAUUUGAUCGAACUUGAAGUUUGGUUGAUCGAAGUUGCUAAAUUAAAAGGUCAUGUAUACAUUAAAAAGAACAUUAAUUGAGUCCUAGAAAACCUAUUUCUCUUAAAUACUAAUAUCUUAUAAACACUUAUCUAUUACUCUCUCUCUUUACCUCACUAAAGAAAACACAACCCAUACAAUUCUCUCAAAAUGUUUCAUCAAAUUAGUGUUCUUCAACUUCCAAUUUUCCUGAUUCACUCAACCUCUUGGAAGUUCGAUCGACAAAUCGCAAAAAUAUUGUUGACCGAAUUCACAACUUUGAUCUACUGAAGUAGCAGAAACUACGGGAUAAGAGGGAGGGAUAGAGUUUCAAAUGUUUUCAAGCUUCAAUUUCUUACCCUUUUUAGCUUCUAUCAGAUUCCUCGAGGACAUCUAUCUCUUUUAUCUCAUUAUAAAUAAACCCUAUACCUAUUCCUUAUCAUCAUAUCAAAAUCUCUCAAACCCUAGAUCAAAAGUCUAUGAUUUUUCAGACCAUGAUGCAUCCGAGAACCAAGCACGCAUCGAACGAUCCAAGAGGUGAGAAUACCAAUCCUAAACCUCAAAUGGAGUUCAAACCACAACUAUUCAAGAACAGGAAAAUCCAAAAGACAUGGCUAUCCGAGUUCAAAGAAAGGCCAAUCAUCACGGGAAGGAAAUUUAAGAAAAAUUUCCCACUCAAGUACUACAAGAAAAUGUUGGUGCCAUUGGAACCUCUUGGAUGGAAUGGAUGGCAUCCUCUUCCAACGGACAUGUACUCAAACUUGGUAAGGGUUUUCUACUGCAACUGAGAAGUAGGAAACCUAGAUAAUAUUGUGUACACAAUUGACUCAAAUGUUAGAGGGAAAUAUAUAGUCCUCAAUCCCACGAUCUUAUCUAAGAUCACAGGGAUUGUUAAUGCUAGGGACUACAUCUUUUUCAACAAGUCAAGCCAACUUGAUCAAUAUGUGAGUUAAAAACAUAUGAAUAAAAUGAUCUCCAUAAAUGGAAUAUUAAAAGCCACACAAACCAAGGAUAUGAUAAAGGAAUUCAGACUAUUCCAUACAUCACUUACAAUAUAAUUUCUAAGAAGAGACAUUAUAAUCAAGUGACAACUACGAUAGAAGAGCCUCAUAAUCUAAACUAUAUAAUUCUAAAUGAGAUUGCUAAUAUGAGAAACCAUAGUAGUCGAGCCCUACAUUUUGGUGCUCUCUUGACUAAAAUUUUCAAACACUUUAGAGUCAAGUUUAACAACCAAAUCAAUCAAUAUAUAGGUGGACGUUUUCCUAAACAAAUGAUAAAAAGAGAGACAAGUGUGUUCUCCUCCGAUAAGGAAGAAGAAGAAAGAAGUCACAGUGAUAUGGAGGUUGCAGGAAACUUUGAGGAUCUUCCCCCACAAACCGAGGAAACUUAUGAGGAACUAAGCACUCAAGUGUUCCAACUCCAAAUACAAGAAAAGGAAACGAUGCAGUGGGAGAAUCUUAUGCAAGAAAGGCUUUCAUCGCAAUACGUGCAUUCGACAUGAUUCUUGGAGUACUUUGGAAAGCUCAAUGCCAUAAUGAAACGCGUGGAGCAGCGCCAAGAGAAGUAAGUAGAAUAUUUUGAGCAAAUAGAGUAACGCCAAGAGAAGAAGGAAAGAUACAUUGAGAGGCUCGGUGACUUGUACGAGAACUUGUAUGAGCAGCAAAUCAACUUCAAUAAGCAAUACAACGAUAGGAUGACCAACAUGGAAACUCAGCUUUAGUAUCUCUAGUUCACAACUCAUCCUCCAGCUGAUUUUCCUCUUCCUCCUCCUCCUACACCAUUCGAUGCCCCUAGCUCUUCAUACCGGCCUUCUUGACCUGGACCUAUUGAUGAUUCCCUGAAGGGGGAGAAGAUUUUAGUUUUUUGAUUUAAUUUUUUUAAACAAAUUUCUGAUCAUUUAAAAUUUUUGUUUUAAAAGAAUGUGGUUUGUUUUUUAAUCUAUCUUAGUGUUUGAUAUGCUCCUUUUACAUGCCAUGUUGCUGUGAGUGUGGAUACAUAUGCCAUGUUGCCAUUCUUCUUAAUAUGCUUACUAAGUAUCCCUUGAUUCUAUGUUUAUAUAAUAAGCUUAAAAUAUUAAAACAUAAGAACAAGUUAAACAAGCACAAAGAUAGGGGAUGUUUGAAUAAAGGGGAGCAUGUAAAUUUUAAAACAAGAAUAUGAUUUUCAAAAAUAGUUGUGUCAUCAUAAAAAAUGGGGAGCUUGUUGAAAUAAAGGUUUAUUUGAGUUUUGAUGAUUACAAAUGUUUAACAAUAAGUCAAGUCUAAAAAUCACAUUAAACAACUUAGAAAUACAAGGACCAAAAAUAGUGGUCUUGAAAACAAUCCUACAUAUGAAUAAAAAAAGAUGUUAAGCUCUUUACAAGUCACGUUAAAUAUCAUUGUGCAUAUAAAAGAGGUAGAAAAGAUAAACCAACUCUUAAACUCAAAAUGGAUAGUUAACAAACUUAACUGAUAAAAAGACAAAACACAAAUUGCUACUGUCACAAGUUCGGACCGAACUUGUAUACCGAAGGUUAAAUGAAGCACAAUUGAACUUCAUCAAGUCAUCUAUUAACAGAUAUGAUCACUAGAAAAUCGUUAAACUACGACCGAAGUUCACAUUCAGUCAACCGAAGGCAAAAGAUGCACAACCAAUGUUGAAAUAGAGAACAAGGAUACUCACUGGGAUAACAGUUAAGACACGACUAUAGUUUACAUUCGGUCGACCGAAGUGUCGUCCAAAGUAUGUAAAGCCAAAAUAGAGCAACAUAAGUGAUCUCUAUAAUUACAGAAUAAUGUCGAUGAAAAUAAAAAAGCCCUCGAUCAAAGUUUUAAAUUCAUCAGCCAACAGAGUAUGCAAGUCACUGAAAUUUUAGUUCAAACUCGAUCAAAGUUCAAGUCAGUCGACUAAAGUUUUUGAUCGAAAUUUGAAAAGUUGAUCCUACAAUCCAAAUCAACAUCCAACAACUAAGACUCAAUUAGAACGGCUAGAUUAAAAGCAUUUUUGCUGCAAUAACUAUAAUCGACUUUUGACGAGGGGGGGGGGGAGGAGUGGGUGGGUUGGAGAGGGAGGGAAGGGAAAGAAGUGAAUAAGAUAUAAAGGAGGGGGAAGGAGUCGGGGGGGGGGUGGGGAGAGAAUUACUAAGGGAGGGAGAGGGGUUAUAAAUACAAUUUUGGGUUUGUUUGAAAGGUAUUGAAGUUUUUAACUUUCUACAAUCACUUGUAUUCAAUAUUCCUAAACAAACCUAUUUUAUCUCUUCAUAAUUUGCUUUGUAGUUAACAGUAAAUAUGAUCAAACCGCAUUAAUUUCUUUAAAUUCUUUCUUAUUAUUCUAUUUCUCUUUUCGAUUUUUCUGUAUCUAAAAUCAACAUGAUGACCAUGUUGUUUACUUGUCUAUUAACAAAUUUCUAUAAGAUGUCUUUGAAUGUACAAAAGAUCGUGAGUCACCAAUAGCCAACAGGUCAAAACCUAAACUUUCCAAUCUCAUUAAUAAAUAAAUAAGCAUGUUCUUAUAUAUUCGACACAACUUGUUUGCAGUGCAAUUCCAGAAUCUUGGGGUCUAUUUUGAACCCAUUUUGAUAAUUUAAAUUGUUCAUGUAAUAGAUUUUAUCGUAAAAAUUAAUAUUAUAAAAAAUUAUAUUAAUCAGAUACACAUUAAUAUACAUUUAGUACUAUUUUAUAACUUAAUAAAGUCAAAAAAUUCAAUUAUAAAGUCUAAUCUUUUAUAUUGUAAACCUCAUGAGCAGUUUUAAUAAAUUAAAAAAUGUCAAUACAUCACUACUGCCAUUGUCAACACAUUGUUGUUGGAGAGAUAAAUUUAAUUGUUUAAAAAUUAAAUUUCAUUAAUACCAAGUAUCUCCAUCUGACCACCACCUCCGUCCUCGCCAAUGUUUCUACUAGACAAAUCAACUACAUUUUAAAAAUUCAUUCAAAAAAAUUUUUGCUCAAAAAGUCAUCAUCGGCAACAGGCCAAAAAGUGGCAUCCGGGCACUUUUUGGUAGCCCAAGUUAGUGGUGACGGUGGAAAAUAGUAAAAAAUUAAAAGAAGCGUAGAAAGUAAUAGGAAUAUUUUUUUUUAUUUUAUUAAAAAAGAAUUUUAACUUUAAGAUUUGGUGACAAACGAAUUGUAGCAAGGACUAUGAACCAUCACUUAUGGCUAGAGCUGCUUUUUCAAAAUUGACGAACUCUACUUUCACUUUUUUUCAUGGAUAACAAGUGCGAAUCCAAGUCCACUCAAGCUGGGCUGUAAACAAAUCCAUAGUGACUCGAGACCAAGCCCCACAGUUCCCAAAUCAAAACACUUGGGAUAUUUGAUAACGUUUUUAUUUUUUUUAUUUUUUUUAUUUGUUUAAUUUUUAUUUUAUUUUGUUUAAUUUUUUGUAAAAUAGAAAUUAAAAAUAUUUUUGUGUUCACCUAUUUUUAAACUAUUUAAAAACAAAAUAUGUUUGUGUUAACUUUUUUUAAAACUAUGAAAAAAAAUGUAGAGGGCGUGGUGUGGAGGAAGUGGGUCGGUUGGAGGUGAUGGUGGAGGUGGAGGGGUCUGGUGUUGGAGGUGGAAGGACGGUUGCGUGGUGAUUGGUGGUGGUGGUGGUGGUGGUGGUGGUGGUGGUGGUGGUGGUGGUGGUGGUGGUGGUGGUGGUGGUGGUGGUGGUGGUGGUGGUGGUGGUGGUGGUGGUGGUGGUGGUGGUGGUGGUGGUGGUGGUGGUGGUGGUGGUGGUGGUGGUGGUGGUGGUGGUGGUGGUGGUGGUGGUGGUGGUGGUGGUGGUGGUGGUGGUGGUGGUGGUGGUGGUGGUGGUGGUGGUGGUGGUGGUGGUGGUGGUGGUGGUGGUGGUGGUGGUGGUGGUGGUGGUGGUGGUGGUGGUGGUGGUGGUGGUGGUGGUGGUGGUGGUGGUGGUGGUGGUGGUGGUGGUGGUGGUGGUGGUGGUGGUGGUGGUGGUGGUGGUGGUGGUGGUGGUGGUGGUGGUGGUGGUGGUGGUGGUGUGGUGGAAAAAAUUUAGAUAAAAAAAUUUUGAAUGAAAAAGUUUUAUAAACAAAACAAAAAUAACUUUUUCUUGUUUUUACUAUUUUCAAAAAUAGUGGAAGUUGUUUAGCCUUAUUUUUUCAUUUAUUUUUUUCAACACAAACAAGAUUUUGUUUACGUUUAUUUUCAAAAACAGAAAUUAAACAAAAAAAUAAAAAUUAAACAGUUAACAAACAAGCCCUUAGCUUUGAAAUAUGUUAAAUGAAUUAUUUUUUUCCAUGCUAAAUAGUUUGUGGUUUUGUGGAGGUUGUUGGUGCAUGAGUACGGGUACUUUUUUUGAAGUUGGAAUUUGGACUGCACCAGUUCAAGUUUUUUAAACUUUUAGUCCCUUUGUAUAUUCCAUCUUUAAAAUUUUAGAACUCAGUAACUUUUAACCCAUUAGUAUCCACUAGAAAUAUCAUUUCACUACAAGAAAAGAAAAAGAUUUUUUGCCUCAAGGACGUGCCGCCACAAAUAAUCACCUUUCCGUUGUAAAAAAUUUUUGCCCCGGAGGACUAGGUGGCAAUUGGUGGGUUUGCAAGAGCUUUUUGCGGUGGCAUCAGACCAUGGCAAAUACUGUAGCCACACUUUACAAUCAAUAAUCCUAAGUCAAAAAAUGAGUCACGAUCGACCACUUGAAUGAUAUUGACAGCAUCCUUCAAACCUAAUGGGAAAAUUGUUACUCGAAAACAUAAACCCCUCAUGGCUUAAAAAUUUUCACCAUGGUCUAGUCAAAUCUAUAGUACCAUUAAAAAUGAUUCUGUCAAAUUGAAAUGUUAAAGGAUGCACACAAAUCAUAAUAUUAAGUCUGCCUAGGCGUCAAAAUUGUGGGAAAAACAAAUUUUCACUUGGCUGGUAGUUCAGUAGCUAUUUGGUGAGUUAAAAAGAGGAUAUUCUUAUUCAAGGGAAGAAUAAUGACGGGGGGACAUCCUUUCUCUUCCAGAUCAGAAGAAUAUACAACACAUCUGCAUCUACAUUAUCAAUCUCCUCUCUCUCCCAACUUUAAAAUCUUUCAGAUAUUUCUAAGUAACAUCCCUAAUAAACUUGGCAUUGGUCCAAAGUCGUGCAGCAUUAAAGCCUAUCAUGUCCCUCUCUUCCAUCUUUAAAAUCUUUCAGAUAUUUCAAGAAAACAUCCCUAAUAAACUUGAUAUUGAUCCAAAGUCGUGCAGCAUUAAAGCCUAUCAUGUCCCUCUCUCCCAUCUUCACAAUCUUCCAAAUAUUUCAAGAACAUAUCCCUAAUAAACUUGAUAUGAUCCAAAGUCGUGAAACACCAAAGUCUAUCAUGUCCAUCUCUUCCAUCUUUAAAAUCUUCCAAAUAUUUCAAGAAAACAUCCCUAAUAAUCUUGACAAUGAUCCAAAGUCGUGUAGCAUUCAUACCCCUCUCCCAUCUUUAAAAUCUUCCAAAUAUUUCAAGAAAACAUCCCUAAUAAAUUUGAUAGUGAUCCAAAGUCGUGCAACACUAAAGUCUAUUAUGUCUCUCUCUUCCAUCUCUAAAAUCUUCCAGAUAUUUCGAGGAAACAUCCCCAUAAUCUUGGCAAUGAUCCAAAGUCGUGUAGCAUUCAUACCCCUCUCCCAUCUUUAAAAUAUUUCAAAUAUUUCAAGGAAACAUCCCUAAUAUAGUUGGUAGUGAUCCAAAGUCACGUAGCAUCAAAGCCUAUCAUGUCCCUCUCUCCCAUCUUUAAAAUCUUCAAGACAUUUCAAGGAAAUAUCUCUAAUAAACUUGGCAAUGAUCCAAAGUCGUGUAGCAUUAAAGCCUAUCAUGUCCCUCUCUCCCAUCUUUAAAAUCUUCAAGAUAUUUCAAGGAAACAUCCUUAAUAAACUCGGGAAUGAUCCAAAGUCGUGCAGCAUUAAAGUUUACCAUGUCCCUCUAUUCCAUCUUUAAAAUCUUCCAAAUAUUUCAAGAAAACAUCCCUAAUAUAGUUGGUAGUGAUCCAAAGUCAUGUAGCAUUAAAGCCUAUCCGUCCCUCUCUCCCAUCUUUAAAAUCUUCCAAAUACUUCAAGAAAACAUCCCUAAUAAUCUUGACAAUGAUCCAAAGUCGUGUAGCAUUAAAGCCUAUCAUGUCCCUCUCUCCCAUCUUUAAAAUAUUCAAUAUAUUUCAAGGAAAUAUCUCUAAUAAACUUGGCAAUGAUCCAAAGUUGUGUAGCAUUAAAGUGUAUCAUGUCCCUCUAUUCCAUCUUUAAAAUCUUCAAGAUAUUUCAAGAAAACAUCCCUAGUAUACUUGGCAGUGAUCCAAAGUCGUUUAGCAUUAAAGCCUGUUGAAAUAAAAGUUUAUUUUAUUUUGAUGAUUAAGCUAAGUCAAGUUUAAACACCGAUGAAAAUCGUAUUAAGGAAGAAAAAAUAAACAAACACGUGCUAAACUUAUAUUAGUCACAAACAAAUUUAUUUUAAGAAGAAAAGAACUACAAAGAUUGAUAAAACAACUUAGAAUUCCAAUAACUGAAGUCAACUGGUUUACAUUCGUAAAAGAAACAACAGUGGUAUUGAAAGUAAAGCUAAUCAUGUUUAAAGUGAGAAUUGAAACUCUCUACAAAUCAUAUUCAAUGCUAUCAUUCACGCAAAAAUGGUAGAAAAGCUAAAUAAAAGAUUGAACUCAAAUUGAAUAGUUAACCGCCCAAAUUGAUAAAAAGACAAAGCAUAAACUGCUAUUGUCACAAGUUCAAUCUACCGAAUUAAUUGACCAAAGCUUAAGAGUCUCAACCAAAGUCUGAAGGUUCAAAAUAGUUGCCCAAGUUGCUCACUCAAAAUAUAGUUCAGACAACACCGAAGUUCACAUUAGGUCGACCAAAGUUAAAGAAGGUACAACCAGAAAGUGAAAUAGAGGACAUGCGUGCUCACUAGAAAAACAGGUUUACUACGACCAAAUUUUAUAUUCGGUCGAUCGAAGUUAAGAAAAUCACAGCUGAAUUUAAAACAGAGCAACUAAGUGCUCUCUAGAAUUGAAGAACAACGUCUAUCAAACUUGACAUUCGGUUGACUGAAAGGAAAAAGCCCUCGACUGAAGUUAUAAAUCACUUAGUAGACAGAAUGAACAAGCCAUUAGAAUUUCAUUACAACCACGAUCGAAGUUCAAGGUCGGUUGGCCGAAGGUGUCGAUUGAAGUUCGAAAAGUUGAUCCUGACUGUCCAAAUAAAGAUUUAACGGCUGAGAUUCAAUCAGAAUGACUAGAUCAGAAGUAUCAAAUUCUGUAACGACUCUAAUCUACUUUUGGCUUAUAAAUACAAUUUUGGGGGUUGUUGGUAAUAUAUUGAAGUGCCAUAUAUUUUUAAAAUCACUUGUAUUCAAUACUUCAAUCCCUUUAUCAUUUACUUAUGAGUUUUGAUUUGUGAGAGUUAGAUCACUCUAGACAAAAGAAAGUUUCAUUAUAAUUAUCCUUGUUCUAGAAUUGGUUAGAUAAGAGUUACUUUAAUUGGAAAAAUCAAUAUAAGUUCUAGUGUUUGUAAAGGUUGUGAAGAUCAAUAUAGUUCCCAAGAGAUGGAGUCUCUUGAACACUAGAAGAGUUCUAGUGUUUGUAAAGGUUGUGAAGUACCCGCAAACUUGAAGAUAGUAAAUUUUCAAGGAGAAUCUUGAAGAGUAGACGUAAAUCGAGAUUUGUCAGACCACUAUAAAUCUACGUUCCAAUCGAGUUUUAAAAAACAAUUAUAACUAAACAACGUAUAUUGCAAAUAACUAAACAUCUUCUAUUGUAGAGCACAACUUAUGUAAAACCUUGAUAAUUCAAACAUAAAAAUAAGCUUUUUAAGAUGUUCUUGACCCACAAAUAAAAAGCAAAAUUUGUGACGAGCUUUCUAAAACAUGAAAAAGCGAAAACUGCAACCACCAAAAUUGUGGGCAAUACUCCGAGGAUUCUUAGGGCAAGUAUUUGACGCUGACCUGGAACACAUGUCUCGCUCUUUGAUUAAAGCAUAUGCUCAAAAUCACAUUUUUAAAGAUAAAAUCACGCUUAUUUUCAUUAUUUUACGAAUAAAAAGUUUUAAUACAUCAUUACUGCACUGUCAACACAAUUGUGAUUGGAGAGGGAAAUUUCAUUGUUUUCACCAAGUCCAAGUCUACUACUGUUGAGUUGUAAACAAAUCCAUAGUAUCAAGACCAAACCCCCCCAGUUCCCAAAUCAAAACACUUGGCCUUGAAAUAUGUUAAAUCAACAAAUUUUUUUCCAUGCAAAGUAAGUAGUGCGUUUUGUGGAGGUGCUGGUGAGAUGAGUUAAGGGUAUUUUUUUUAACGACCUAGUUCCUUUAAAGUUGGAAUUUGGAUUGCUCCAGUGCAAUUCAAAUUUUUUGAGUUCACUUUGGGCUAAGUUUGAUCAUUCAAAAUGUUUAUAUUGUAAACUCUAAUGUCAAGAUCAGUAUUACAAAAGAUGCGUUGAUCGAAACACAAUCUAGAAUCCGUUUAUUACUGUCUCAUAUUCGAAACUUCUGAAGUGUCAUCAAUUUUUAAUUUGGGGUUUAAAUCCAUUGUUAAUGGACAGUGAGAUUAAUUCUUUAAAUUAGUGGGUCCUGAGACAGAUACCGAAUUAUUAAAAAUAGUAUAUUUGUGGAAAAUAUUAUACAAUUAAUUAUUAGGAACGAAAGAGAUUAGGAGCUUUUAGUCCCUGCUCUUUUACUCCUACUAUCCAUGCCUUCAAAACAAAUGAAUGUGUGUAUGUUUUUAUCACUUCAAUCCAUUCCUAACAACCCCAAGGGUUAAUUUUAAAAGUUCCAAAUUGGAUAGAGACGUUGCAUCAUUAAUUGCACUAAAAAGAACCGUUCUGAUUUGAUUUCAGUCAUUGGAUCUGAGAUUUUGAUAUGCUAGAGUGAAAUUUAAAAGUCGGUCGUCGUACUUUCUAAAACUUUGGUUGACCGAACUUUAACUUCGGUCAUGUUUGAACUGAAUCUCUAAGUGGCUAAGUUAAUUGCUCUAUUUUACUUUCCUGAACUUCGAUCGUCCCUAAUUUGGACUUUAGACUUCGGUCAACUAAAUUUUAAGUUCGGUCGUUUUUGUACUGCAUUUUCAGGGGUUUGCUUAGAUACUCUGCUUAGAUACUCUGCUUCAUCUUUUGAAUUUGGCUUCUACCUUAAAGAUUCGGCUGUGCUCUGAACUUUGGUCGUGUACUUCUGAAUGUUCGGUCGACCAUUAAGUUGGAUUGUCAUUAGCUUGUUUUUCCAGAGAGCUUUUACUUACAUUAUUAAUUGAGAGUUCCUAGCAUUCGGCUGUGCUUUGGGACUCAGUUCUUGAACUUUGGUCGAUCCUUCUUGGACUUCGGUCGCCUCUGACUGAGUUUCUGAGAGCAUACUCUGUUCUUAACAAUAAUCUUUGUUUUGCUUGUGUUAGCAUUCGACGUUCAAACUCUUUUAGAUCUACCCAAGUCUAUUUCUAAGACCACCCUUUAUUUUUCUUUUUAUCGAUGAUUUUCAAACGCAACUUAGUUUAAUCCUUUGUAAUCAUCAAAAUUAAUUACUUUAUUUAAUAAAUAUAAUUUAUUUGUAAAAGAAAAGUGUAAUUUUUUUGAUGGUGUCAAUUGACCCCACGACCAUUGUGACAUAUACCCCGAGGAUUCUUACGGUAAGUAUUUUAGGUGACGGAACACAUGUCUCAGUCUUUGAGUAAAGCAUACGCUCAAAAUCACAAUUUUUAAAGAUAUUCCACAUAUUUUUCAUUAUUUCACCAAUAAAAUAGUAUCAAUACAUCACUACUGUCAGCACUAUUGUGGUUGGAGAGAGAAAUUUCAUUAUUUUAUCAAGUCCAAGUCCAAGUCCAAGUCCAAGUCCAAGUCCACUCCUGCUGAGUUGUAAACAAAUACAUAGUGGCUCAAGACCAAACCCCACAGUUUCCAAAUCAAAACACUUUGGCUUUGAAAUAUGUUAAAUCAACAAUUUUUUUCCAUGCAAAAUAGUUACUGUGGUUUUGUGGAGGUUGUUGGUGCAUGAGUUAUGGAUAUUUUUUUAACGACCUAGUUUCUUUGAAGUUGGAAUUUGGAUUGCACAAGUGCAAUUCAAGUUUUUUGAGUUCACUUUUGGACCCUGUUUGAUCAUUUAAAAUAUUUAUAUUGUAGACUCUGAUGCCAAGAUCAGUAUUAAAAAAAGACCACGUUGAUCGAAUAAAUUUAGAAUCCGUUCAUUAAUAUCCCGGAUUCGAAACUUCUUAGGUGUUACUAAUUCUUAAUUUGGGUUCAAACCCACCGUUAAUGGACAGGAGAUUAAUUUUCUAGAUUAGUGGGUCUUGAAUCAAAUACCGAGUUAUCAAAAAUACUAUAUUGUGGAAACUAUUAGUACAAUUAAUUUGUUAGGAAUGUAAGAGAUAGGAGCUUUUAGUCCCUGCUCUUUUUGGCCUACUAUCCCUUUCCUUGCAAAACAUAUGUAGUGUAUCCCAUCUUUAAAAUUUUAGAACUCAGUAAUUUUCUUGUAAGUUGUAACUCAUUAGUAUCCACAAGAAAUAUCAAAAAUAGUCACCUCUCCGCCGUAAAAACUCUUUGCCACGGAAGGACUAGGUUGGCAAUUGGUGGGGUUGCAAUAACUUUUUGCGUUGACAUCAGACCAUGGCAAACACUGUUGCUACACUUUUUCAACUAAUAAUCCCAAGGCAAAAAAUAACAGUAUAAAUUGUUACUCUAAAACAUUAAUCCCUCAUGGCUUAUAAAUUUUCAACAUGGUCUAGUCAAAUCCAUAUUACUAUUAAAACGAAAGAUGUUUGUCGACUUUUCAAUUCCCAAAAUGCCCUUGGUUCAAUAAAAAAAGGAAUAUUGAAGUUGUGAUUUUGUUUUUGAGGAAAAAAAAAAACUUACUCUCACUUAGACACGUAAAACCAAGCCUUUUAUUUUACUCCUCCAGAAUUCAUUCUAUUCAUUCCAGCCAUAACAGACAACGCUUCGGUAAUCCUAUCAACUCCAUUGUGUCUUCUUCAAUUGCCCAAUAGCUUCUUCUUCACUCUUAUCUUCGAAAGAAACUUUCCCUUGAUUGUUUAUGCUAUCUAACCUAAAUCAUUCAGAGAGCAGGAGAGGUGGAAAUAAUAGCAGCUUUCUAAAUGAACCCUAUUAUUUAGGAGAUGUCUUUCUACUUGGGAAGUGGAGCAAACAUAGUCUACUUCAAAUGAAAAUUGAGGAGUGGAUUCCGGUUACGGAUAAGAAUGAUUCUCUCAAAUUGAAAUGUUAAAGGAUGCAUAUAAUCAUAAUAUUAAGUCUGCCUUGGUGUCAAAUUGUGAUAUUUAGUAAGUUAAAAAGAGGAUAUUCUUAUUCAAGGGAGGAAUAAUGAUGGGGAUGUCUUUUCAUCUCUAGAUCAGAAGAAUAUACAACACAUUUACAUCUAUAUUAUGAAUCUCCUCUCUAUCCCAACUUUAAAAUCUUCCAGAUAUAUUAAGAAAGCAUCCCUAAUAAACUUGGCAUGGUCCAAAACGUGUAGCAUUAAACCUUAUCAUGUCCCUCUCUUCAUCUUUAAAAUCUUCAAGAUAUUUCAAAAAAACAUCCCUAAUGAACUUGACAGCGGUCCCAAGUCGUGUAGCAUUAAAUCCAUUGUUUGUCCCUCACUACAAUCUUUAAAAUCUUCAAGAUAUUUCAAGGAAACAUCCCUAAUAAACUUGACAAUGAUCCAAAGUUGUGUAGCAUUCUCUCCCAUCUUUAAAAUCGUCAAGAUAUUUUAUAGAAACAUCCCUAAUAAACUUGAUUGUGAUUCAAAGUAGCGUGUUAUGUCCCUCUCUUUUAAAGUAUAAUUUAUUAUUUAUUUUAUUAAUUAAUUCCAGAUAUCAAGUCAACACAUGGUAGGCUUUUAAAAUUACAUUUUGUGGCUGAAGAUGGUACCUGUCAUUCAAAAUAUUGACCCUUGCCGAGGUUGGUGAAUUGACUGCAAGCGGAGGACAAUUACACACAUUGUCUUGGCCUUGGAUAUUUCUCAUCUAAACUAAAAAUUUGGACUGUAAAUGGUGGCAGUUGACAAAAUGGGCCCAUCAAUGGAUGAGUACUAACAAAAGAAUUUAUUAAAAACCGAAAGAUCUCUUAAAAAAGCCAAAAUUUGGAGACUUGUUAGACAUAUAAUUUGGGGCCAAUUUUGAACAAAAACAAAUGAGGAAUUCAUACGUCUUUUUAACCGGAUCCAAAUUCGAAUAUGCUAUCUAUGUGAGAUGAUUAACAUCCGAUAUUUUUUUUAUUCAAAACGAAUAAAGAGUGAAUGAAAAAUUGACACCAAAAUUCACUAGUUGAAUAUUAGGUGAAGAAUGGUUAAAAAAUUGUUCCGCAUUGGUCAUUUAUGAGACCUUUAGUGGGUUUACAGGCUUCUCCUUGAACUUGGGCUUGGACUAAGGGGCACCACGGUUCUCUGGAGGAGGGAGGACCUAGCACCUUAUGUGUUGACCUUUUCAAAAGUUUUUAUUUUUCAGCACCUUAUUAUUUUUUAUAUAUGAUUUUAAAGCGGUUCAAAAGUUUCUUAUAGUUGUGGUAAUUGGGUCCUUUCAUUACGUAGUUUCGGCCAUAUGCUACGUAUAUGGGCAGUCAAAUGAGCAAAAACUUUCAUUAACAAAUUAAACGAUUGCUCUGAAGAGUUACAAAGGAGAAUGUGUGAAGAACUUUCUCUCCAAAGCCCCACCAAAAUCAAAUAUAAAUUUUCUCCAAACCUUAACUAGAAUCAAACCAAAAACUUUGUCAAACAAAAGGAUUAAAGAUUCACCAAAGUCCUCAAUUGUGGCACCAAAGGAACUACAAAGUUCGUCCAAAUACUAAGGGUCAACCCAGUCCCCUAUAGGGGGCUUCAAAGGAACUAUGAAGUUUAACAAUAUGAGAGUCUUUCCAAAUUUAUAACUAUGGAAUCCCUCAUAAAAAGAUAGUGUAUGGAAAUCUAUUACUUUCUUGUAGUGAUUUCUUUUAUUUUACUUUUUGAUUUAUUUCUAAAAUAUGCAGGGUUCCAUUUUAAGAGUUCGCUUAGGAAAGCUUAGGGCCGGCCCCUGAUUAGAUUCAUGUAUAAGUCAGUAAAUAAAGAGAUUUCAUGCACUGUUGAUUCACUGUGAAAACAAAUUGAAGUAUUUUAUUUGUUCAGCGUACAAUCACUGUAUUUCAAGAGACAGACAUCUAAAACAGUAAACACAGUGAUGAAGGAAAAUUCUGCAUUCAAGGACAUAGUGUUAAACACGAGCCUUGAUUAUUCUCCUUCGAAUUGCUCAUUGCAGAUUCUACAAUUUUUUUAUACAAAGCAUAUCUUCUUCUGCAAUCAGUCUUUUGUGUUCAAACCACAGGAUCUGUUUCUGAUUUUGUCUCUAAAAGUAAUUGUUGUUUCCAAAACAGUUUUGGGUUAUGUUUAUGCAAAAUCAGAGUUUUUAAAUAAUUUAGUUUCUGCAAAUUAAAUCUGUUUCUAUAAUUAUAUAUAUCCAAAUGUAUGGAAUGAUUUUUCCUUUUAGCUCCCAUUCAUAUUGAUACUAGCGGAGGUACUAGACCUCAUAGGAAUCAAACUAAGUAAUUGUGGGGUUGUUGUUAUACGAAAGGAGGAGAGGAAAUCGAGGAUAGACACCCGCGGUGGUCCUAGAAGCUGCGUGGGUGGCUCUGGCCUCCUGAGCGACUGACUUGUGAUGCCUUGCUUGUGAGCACAACAACAGUAAGAAUGGUCGCCGGAGUUGUUUUUGAGAAAUAGCUCUCUGACGGUCAAGUUAGACGUCUAGAAUCAUAGAGAGAGAAAGUAUGUGCAUCUUUGGUUGGAGUACAUUCACAUCUGCGUCUAUGAGAACAACCGUGUUCUCCUUUAUACCUAGACUCAGCACGUGACUCGACGUUUGCUGUGUCAGUGAGUGGGUGGCUGGCCAAGCAUCUAUGGCGUGGCUAGAAGCUUACCAUCAACCUGUCGCGUCUCCAUUAGGGCAUGGAGGCUGUCAGAAGGCACUUGCCAUGCAAAUUACCUUUUGUCCCCAAUCAUCCUUUGGGAUUAGCACUAGCCGUUACCCCUCGCCCAAGCUUUUAGCGCAGUUAUUAUUUUGAGGUCGCUAAGUAGCAGCACCUUGGGGGUAGGGAUGGGCUUAGCUCGGGAGGGCAUUCUUUUGUAGUGGUGAUUCUCCGAGCUCCGGCAUAGUGGGUCUCCGAGCUCGCCCCGUGGCGACGGUUGGUCAAACCUCUACCCUAGCAAGGUCAAUGUCGAAUGGU